rnacentral:rRNA from 1 species
UACGUAGGGGGCUAGCGUUGUCCGGAAUCAUUGGGCGUAAAGAGCGCGUAGGCGGCUGGAAUAGUCCGGUGUGAAAUCCACAGGCUUAACCUGUGAAUGCCGCUGGAAACUGUCUGGCUAGAGUCCGGAAGGGGCGAGUGGAAUUCCUGGUGUAGCGGUGAAAUGCGCAGAUAUCAGGAGGAACACCAAUGGCGAAGGCAGCUCGCUGGGACGGUACUGACGCUGAGGUGCGAAAGCGUGGGGAGCAAACAGG